UCUCUCUCCCAAGCCUACAUACAUUUAUUUAACUCUGUGACCUAUUUCGAGGUCUUUUUAUUUCAAUCUAUCUUCAUUGCAUACUGUAAUUAUUUUCUGACCAGGAGUGCUUUAAAAUGGCAAGCAGCUUCGUUACUGUGACCCUGGAUACUGGCUCUGCCUCUUUCUGUCUUUCAGUACGGUGGAGGUAAUUCACUGCUUACUCUGGAACCGCUGGGAGGGAUUGCACUCACCACAUCAACUCUGAUGGAAAAGUCACCCGGCAUGCAGUGUUCCAUUGGUGAAGCAAAGAUUCAAAACAAAAACCCAUUCUUCUCAUUCCAGUGAGCUGUUUCUCACCAUAAAAGGAAAGGCAAAUGAAAAAAUGUCUAGAUUAGAUCAAGUCUGAAGCCACUGAACAUGGAACAUCUUCAACUCCAUGGAGAGCCAAAACCUCUACUAUCGUAAGAAACAGAAACACAGGGACAUUUGAAAGGGCAAGGGCACAGCAAGGAGGAGCAAGUGUCAAUGUAAUGGCCACAAGAGGAGAUGAGAUGCAGCCAUAUCAUAGUCGUGGAACAAGAUGACUCAAGUGGUGAGCUUGGUGUGGCCUGAGUCCUGGGGACACACACCAAACAAGAGCUCUAGAAGAUACAAACAACUCAGAAACUACCAUGGACCAACUUUCAUCUCCUGAAAUCCGAGGGGACAAACAAUAUCCAAACCAUCAAACAAACGACCUAGAUUUUCCAGUUAACUUGGAAGGGACUAAAAGCAAAUGCACCUCCUCAGUUUCUCCAGCCUUCCUUCUACACCUCCACAGAUCAUCUGUCGGUUCCCAGUGAAAGCAGAUCAACAAGAAGGAAAAGAGGCCCCCAACCUGCCUGCAGAACAUUUAAGG